rnacentral:rRNA from 1 species
AACGCGAAGAACCUUACCUACUCUUGACAUCCAGAGAAUUUAGCAGAGAUGCUUUAGUGCCUUCGGGAACUGUGAGACAGGUGCUGCAUGGCUGUCGUCAGCUCGUGUUGUGAAAUGUUGGGUUAAGUCCUGCAACGAGCGCAACCCUUAUCCUUUGUUGCCAGCGAUUCGGUCGGGAACUCAAAGGAGACUGCCGGUGAUAAACCGGAGGAAGGUGGGGAUGACGUCAAGUCAUCAUGGACCUUACGAGUAGGGCUACACACGUGUUACAAUGGCGUAUACAAAGAGAAGCGACCUCGAGAGAGCAAGCGGAACUCAUAAAGUACGUCGUAGUCCGGAUUGGAGUCUGCAACUAGGCUCCAGGAAGUCGGAAUCACUAAUCAUAUUAGAUCAGAAUGCUACGGUGAAUAAAUCCCGGGUCUUGUACACACCG